CACCGUGGAGGACAGAUUGACAACUUCUCAACCAUUAAAUAUACGGCUAUGUCCAGCAACACUCCUCUGCAAAGCAAAGACUCAAGGGAUGGAAAGAAGAGCUGGAACAACUCCACACUCGCAUUCAUGGCUGCACCAGACAUGGAGCCAUGUGCUCAUCCCAGGGUACCAACAACAGAGCAAGGAAAUAGUCCCGCCCAAGUCCAGCUGGUGAACCAGUGAGUUUUUUUGGAAUUUACUCACAGGAGCCUGGUUGGGAGUACUCACAAGAUGUCAAUUCCAAUGCAGCCUUGUCACCGGAAAGUCCCAUCCCAACCUGAGAGCGUCUGGUUUGGUUUCCUUUACUGCUCCCCUUUCAUUCAGCGGUGAGAACCUGGAAUCCCGCAAAGUGGAUGCAGAGGCAGGAGGAUGCCGGGGCUCACAGGCUACUCCAGCAAUCUGGUUCUACUCCAGGCUCAGGGAGAGACUUCAAGGGCGGCAGAGACUGCUCAAGGGUUAGAGCACUUGAUGCUCUUGCAGAGGACCUGAGUUGGAUUUCCAGCACCUACUUGGCAGUCCACAGUCAUUCCUCUCUCCAGUUCCAGAUCUGCUGCCAUGUUCUGACCACACACGCAUACA